AAUCAACACUCCACUCAGACAAUGCCCAGACCUCCAGACACCAUGUGUCAAGCUCGGAUUGCCUUAGACAGGUGCAAUUUAAAAACAGCUUUCAUCCUCUUUUCUCUCAUAUUGUCACACUAUGGGUUCCGACUUCUGGCUCCUUUCCUCAUAAGAAGCUCACCCAGCUGGAACUCUUAUGGGACCUUGGCACCAGAGACCACAAAUUCCUCUUUGAAAUUUUCUAACAGCAACAAUGGUAUUUCUGACUUGGCUUUCUUGUAUUUCUCUCAAGUUAACAAAAUUGGUUGAGCAUCUACCAUGGGCUACAUGCUGAGCUACAGAGUUUCACUCUGUCGCCCAGGCUGGAGUGCAGCGGCAUGAUCUCGGCUCACUGCAAGCUCCACCUCCCGGGUUCACACCAUUCUCCUGCCUCAGCCUCCCGAGUAGCUGGGACUACAGGCGCCUGCCACCACGCCCAGGAGCCCAACUUGCUGUUUGGUAUCACAUGUGCUAUACGUGCUGUUGAUGAAACUGCUAAAGGAGCUGAAUGUGACUGACGUCUUUGGAAGGAUGAGACUUAGCAUGCCUGUACAGUUGUGUCCAAGUGCUGUCCGUAUCUCCCAAUGGAAAGGAACAAAACCCAUCAGAAGAUAUCAGAAGAUAGGGAUUUUUGUCCUGAUGCUACACUUACCAGCUGUCCCUCAGUGUUCUACUUCUUAAAAAAACAGAGAUGGAUAAACAGAGGCGACUGGAGGAUAAAGGCCUUGCUCAGUGUCACACAUUUCAGUCACUAAAUAAGACAGAAUAGAUGCCAGUAUUCUCAUCCCCUCACAAAUAAAAAGCCUUCAAGCUCUUGCAGUCAACAAGAACUUUUGGAAUGAUUUCACUGCCUGAAAAGGCAGAUACAUAGAUGACAUCCACAAAUAGGAAGAAAAUCAACCUGAACCUGAGUGUGUGGGCUCACUGACUCUAAGCAGUAGAGACAGAAGAAAACUAAAGUUUUAGCGAAGAAGGGUCUGAAAGAAAAUAAAUAUAGCUCUUUAUCAAGCUCUGUUUUUACACAGUAAAACAAAGGCAAAAUUACUCUUCUUUAAGUAGUAAUUCUUAUCUCUUGAUUAAGUCACCUACUCAUUCAUUUAAUAAAUACAUACUGAUUGCCUUCUAUGUGUUGAGCACUCAUCUCUGUAUUGGAAAUAUAAUAAUGACCAAAGUUGACAAUAGUGAUAACAACAAUAGCUAAUAUAGCAGGCACUAAUAAUUAUUUGUUGAGUAAAAUGUCAAAAUUCAGUGUGAACAGCAUUGUAUUUUGGGCUGCAUCCACUGACUAUAA